rnacentral:rRNA from 1 species
GUUUACUGAGAAAAUUGUCUGGAAAACUGGGAGAUUUGAGUGCAUAAAGGACAGUGGAACUCCAUGUGUAGCGGUGGAAUGCGUAGAUAUAUGGAAGAACACCAGUGGCGAAGGCGGCUUUCUAGACUGUAACUGACGCUGAGGCUCGAAAGUGUGGGUAGCGAACAGGAUUAGAUACCCUGGUAGUCCAUGCCGUAAACGAUGAGUGCUAAGUGUUGGAGGGUUUCCGCCCUUAAGUGCUGCAGCUAACGCAUUAAGCACUCCGCCUGGGGAGUACGACCGCAAGGUUGAAACUCAAAGGAAUUGACGGGGACCCGCACAAGCGGUGGAGCAUGUGGUUUAAUUCGAAGCUACGCGAAGAACCUUACCAGGUCUUGACAUCUUCUGACAAUCUUAGAGAUGGAACGUUCCCUUCGGGGACAGAAUGACAGGUGGUGCAUGGUUGUCGUCAGCUCGUGUCGUGAGAUGUUGGGUUAAGUCCCGCAACGAGCGCAACCCUUAUUGUUAGUUGCCAGCAUUCAGUUGGGCACUCUGGUGAGACUGCCGGUGACAAACCGGAGGAAGGUGGGGAUGACGUCAAAUCAUCAUGCCCCUUAUGACCUGGGCUACACACGUGCUACAAUGGACGGUACAACG